rnacentral:lncRNA from 1 species
GGAAAUCAAUAAUGAACUUGGACCUGCCUGGGCUGACUCAUCAGAGGCAACAGCAGGGUGGGGUCCCAGGAGGCUGCAGAGAGCAAAAGCACAACUCCAAAUUUCUCAGGAGGCCCCAGGAAAUUAGUGGUCAGUGCCAGGAAAUAAUAGCAUCAGUCCGUAUCUAUAGGAGGGCACAGUCCUUGGCAGAUAUAUGUACGUACAUUCCACCUGCACGUUAACGGCAGCCUAAAUCAAGGCUCAUCUGUUUAAAUUAAGCCACACGGAAACACAUAGGUAGGAUACAGCGCACCAGUCAUUGUUGGUAUAUUUAUAUAAUUAGAGUGAUGACAAAUAUGAACAAGUCCUUUAUCAGAACUCACGGGGCUAUUAUUAUUAUUGUUAGGGUCCCUGAGAACAGUUACCUAUAAUUGAUCACAUCGCAUAUGCCAGAUGCUAGUGCUAAGUAUUUGACAUAAUAUGCUCAUUUAACCCUCAGAACAUCCUGAUGAUGUAAGUUUGUUCUCAUUUGACAGGUAUGGAAACUGAAGUGCAAGGAGAUUUAAAUAGAUGGUCCAAACUCACAUCACUAGGGUGCGGGGAAGGAAGGAUGACCCAGAUCUGCCGACUGCUGAGCGAUCCCAGUGCCAGCAGCCAGGUCACGGUGGAGUCCGGACCAGCCCCUUCAUCUCCUCUAGACUUGGGCUUUUCCUCUGUGUUGUCAGAGGCUGCCAUCAGCUCCGAUAAAGGGAACAUGAUUUCCACAGAGCAGAGAGACUUGCAGGGCCAGGCGAAGGUAUACCCCUGAGCUGGUGUUGCAGAAAAUGUAAAAGAAGUUCAAUCUUCCUUCUUCCUGCAUAAAAUACUUACUAAACACAUAUUGAGCACAGGCAAGUGAAAGAGAGGAGGCCUCCGGCACAAAAUAAAUGAGAAGCUCAUCCCUGCCCA